CAGCCGUGCGGUGAGCACAGAGCGAACUAUUCUUUCGCCUUUUACUAAAGAAUACCGUGUGCGCGCCGCGAAUAACGGCAUACGCCUAUUUUUUGAGGGGGAUUCUUUGGAUUUCCC